GAUGAACGCUGGCGGCGUGCCUAAUACAUGCAAGUCGAACGCUUCACUUCGGUGAAGAGUGGCGAACGGGUGAGUAAUACAUAAGUAACCAGGCAUCUACAGGGGGAUAACUGAUGGAAACGUCAGCUAAGACCGCAUAGGUGUAGAGAUCGCAUGAACUCUAUAUGAAAAGUGCUACGGGACUGGUAGAUGAUGGACUUAUGGCGCAUUAGCUUGUUGGUAGGGUAACGGCCUACCAAGGCGACGAUGCGUAGCCGACCUGAGAGGGUGACCGGCCACACUGGGACUGAGACACGGCCCAGACUCCUACGGGAGGCAGCAGUAGGGAAUUUUCGGCAAUGGGGGAAACCCUGACCGAGCAACGCCGCGUGAAGGAAGAAGUAAUUCGUUAUGUAAACUUCUGUCAUAGAGGAAGAACGGUGGAUAUAGGGAAUGAUAUCCAAGUGACGGUACUCUAUAAGAAAGCCACGGCUAACUACGUG
rnacentral:rRNA from 1 species